rnacentral:lncRNA from 1 species
AUCUGUUUGCGAUGAAAUUCAUGCAGAUCUGCUGGGGAAUGAGCCAUAGGAAAUAGUCGUGACACUACAACAAAAAGGCACAGCUGCCUACCAAGGCUGAAAGUGGAUGGCAUAAUAUUUAACUCCAGUCUGUCAUGUAAGGAAAAAAAAAAAGAAAAAGAGCAUCUGUUCAGCAUGAAGUGAAAGGACCCUUCAUUUAGACUCUGUAGGGAUUCAAAUGAAAAAAGUCUUAUGUUGUAUGCUCAGACCUGGCAGAAGAUAAAUCCUCCACUUUCAGGAAGAAGUCAAUGUUAAAGGAUUGAGGUCUCAGGUCAAAACAUACCCAGAUAAAGGCUGGUGGUUUUGGGGCCACUUUGGUUCCAGGAGAGGCACAUCACCACUUCAUCACAGAGACAGCCCUGAAUACCAGGACAGCCUGCUGCAUUGCCUGUGACCAUUUGCUCAAAGGACUGGAAGAUCAGCUCACAGCUGGUGCUUGGCAAUCUUUACCGCUUGGCCAAAGGAGCUUCAGCACCUUCUGUUCUUCCUCUAAUUCUCACAUAUUGGAAUUGAAAAGUCUAUGUCAACAGAGGAUAAUAAAUUUGGAACCGUUGCUGGGUUCUGCCCCUCCCCUUCAUCCUGCGGAUCAGUUGCAAAUGAAUCCUGUUUGCUGCGUUGGCCCUGAAUAUGUUGGUCUUGACAGUAUAAUCCAGAAGGGAUUUUUAUUUGGCUUUCUAAAUGACAGGUUUUGCAGUUAUUAAU